rnacentral:lncRNA from 1 species
GAGGUGGGUGCAGGAUGCGGGGAGGCAGAGGCAGGGCAGUGCGGGGGCUGAGAGGAAACAUGGGGCUGGCGGGGCCGGUUUAGUGCAGCGGGGAGCGAAUUUGACUGCUUGUACGCCGGCAUAGAUGGCUCGAGGACGGCGGAGGCGGGGGCGAGCAUGCACUGCAUCGCUUCAUAAUGGAAGAGGAUUUAUCGUUGAAGCCAGAACGUGCAUGUCACUAUCGAUUAUCGAACCACAAG